UUUAGCGGCGGUCUUCAUCCUGAGCUGAGGUUAUGCUCGGGAUGGCAGUGUUCCUGUUUAGAGAUGUGUCCUCAGCAACCCACAACAGCUUCCCAAACCUGCUGCUGACUGCUGUGAGUAUAUGCCGGCCAUGUUCUUGCUCAAUUGGUUAGAUGUUUUUUGUACUGUUUAUGAUGAUUUGAUUUUAUCAAUGGGAAUCUCUCUGAUUAAGAAUGAGGGAGUAUCUUUGUACUGACUCGGUGCA